AUGUUAUGCUCACUGAUAUAUAUUAUAUUAGAACUCUAGUAUAUUAUGUUAGAAUUUCAGUAUAUUAUGCUGGAGUAUUUUUUGGAUUUUGAACAGUGUUUUCGUUUAUAUUUAUCUUUACAUGAAAAGUGGCUAAAUUUUGAUUACUUUUAAAAUUGUGGGUAUUUUUAAAUGACCACUUAUAAAUCUGGCCGUUUUUGAAUUUCUGUAUUCUCACAACUAUUGCUUUCACUCUCUCUUCUUCUUACAUCUUCUACAUAUGCUUCAAGGGGCAGAAUAUUUUCUGCUUCUGCCCCUGUGUCACCUGGUUGCAAUAUAAGAAAAUUAAAAAGUAGAAGUCCACCAUUGAAGGCCAUUCAAAGCUUUGCUUUCGAAAAUUUAAUUUUUUGAGUUUUUUUGUUGUUUGGGUUAGAAGUUGUUCUAGUUGAUUGCAAAUAUUAAAAGGGGUUCAAGAUUUAA
rnacentral:lncRNA from 1 species